UUGCUGGGGGGCCCCAAGUAAAGUUGCUGUGAGUAAAGUUGCUGGGGGGCUGCGUGUAUAGUUGCUGGGGGGGCCCCAAGUAAAGUUGCUGUGAGUAAGGUUGCUGGGGGGCUGCAUGUAUAGUUGCUGGGGGGCUGCGUGUAUAGUUGCUGGGGGGCCCCAAGUAAAGUUGCUGUGAGUAAAGUUGCUGGGGGGCUGCGUGUAUAGUUGCUGGGGGGCCCCAAGUAAAGUUGCUGUGAGUAAAGUUGCUGGGGGGCUGCGUGUAUAGUUGCUGGGGGGCCCCAAGUAAAGUUGCUGUGAGUAAGGUUGCUGGGGGGCUGCAUGUAUAGUUGCUGGGGGGCUGCGUGUAUAGUUGCUGGGGGGCCCCAAGUAAAGUUGCUGUGAGUAAAGUUGCUGGGGGGGCUGCGUGUAUAGUUGCUGGGGGGCCCCAAGUAAAGUUGCUGUGAGUAAAGUUGCUGGGGGGACUGCGUGUAUAGUUGCUGGGGGGCCCCAAGUAAAGUUGCUGUGAGUAAAGUUGCUGGGGGGGCUGCGUGUAUAGUUGCUGGGGGGCCCCAAGUAAAGUUGCUGUGAGUAAGGUUGCUGGGGGGCUGCAUGUAUAGUUGCUGGGGGGCUGCAUGUAUAGUUGCUGGGGGGCCCCAAGUAAAGUUGCUGUGAGUAAGGUUGCUGGGGGGGCUGCGUGUAUAGUUGCUGGGGGGCCCCAAGUAAAGUUGCUGUGAGUAAAGUUGCUGGGGGGCUGCAAGUAAGGGGUACUGUUAUUUCUAUUCUUUCUCAUUCCCAGGCAGCAGUGCAGCCCUGUGUGUAUCACUAUUUCCUGCUUGGAACUGCCCCUCCUUUAUACCCCUUUUCCUUUUAUUGCCAAAUAUAACUCCCGGCUGUAGAACGGAUGGGCGUUGCCGUUGCUAUGAUACAGAGCACAGUGAUACAGAGCCGCUAAGCAGCUGCAGACUCUGUAUAACUGGGGGGCCACUAACUGCCUAGGUAGGGGCCCAUGUUGGCUACUCACACUCACCUAGUGCCUACUCUCAGCCUCUACUCCUUUCCCUCUGCUUCUCUUCCUCCAUCUUGCCCCAUCACUGUGCCCUCCCAUAAAGACCCCAAAUCUGGGUGUGGCUGCCCUUCUCCCUAUAACCCCCCCUGGUGGCAGGUGGUAAGCACAGCACCUUCUGUUCCUAACUAUACUGCCACCUACUGGCCAUGUAGGAAAACAUGAACAGAACAUACAGCCAUCAUUCUCUACCCCCCUUACAACCCCCAAAGGCCCUUGGGGGGGCCCCCCUCACUUGCUGGAGUUUACUUGAAGGACAGACCUGUGACCCUGCUCAGGGGAAUGAGACAAAGUGCUGGGGGUGUCAUUAGUGGGUGCUGCCCCUAGAACCUUCUCAGUCCCCCUACCCCUAGUGUCAGUGUUUCUCUUUACAACUGCACCCAACAGAGGGAAUCAUGGGACUUGUAGGCUUGAGUGUAUUAGAAAACUGAAACUUUUGGCCACAAAACUCUCCUGGUGCCAGUGGCAUCAUCAUUAAGCUGAUGGUUCACUGUUCCUACAGCUGGGCCAGAGAGGCUGAUGGGAGAUGUACCCUCAUAUGAACCCUCCACUGUCUCUACACCUGUAACUUUCCCAGCUAAACCAGAGAGGAUGAUGGGAACUUGUAGGCAUUGGUGUAGAACAAAAUUGUAUCUUUGUACCAGAAUAUAAAUACCUAAUGUCCGCUGCAUUAUAUCAUUUCUCUUGCACAGUUACCCCUUUGCUUCCAAGGGGCCAGAAGGGAUGAUGGGAGAUGUAGGAGAAAGGGCACCAAGAGCAGUAUGAAGCUGUCACGGCUACUAAACGCCAGGAAAUCCCCUGCCAUAGGCACUAGUGAGAAUUCCCUCUGCUAAACACACACGGUUAUCAGUAAAUGAUCGGCAUUGGCUGGUUUAGUAGCUGUGACAAGUAGCUGCUACUAGUUGCUCCGUGUGGCUUCCCCCAUAGAGAGGACAGCAGAGAGUCAGUGUAGGGGGAGAGCUGUGUCAUUCUGGGGGAUAUGUAGAGUCUUUUACUUAUCCUUUAAUACCUGCUUGUGAUUGGCCCACACUUAAAGCUGCCUUUGUGAUUGGCGGAAACAGUGCCCCCUGUCAUUAGCGUGAAUGGAAAGACUGGCACUGGCAGGGGGUGCUUUCUCCCCAAAAACUGCCUCUCAUAAUCAGUGGUGCCCCCUGUGUCCCUGUCAGCUUGAAUGGAAACUGCCUGUUGGCGCAGAAAUGUUACGUGUGCCAUUAGCCCAAUGCUGGGUGCCAACCAGUUCAGACUGGGCAUUGCCACAAUGAGCUCAGAGGUGUUGCUGCAGUGCCCAGCGUUGACAUGUGGGCGGCCCUAAGCUCAUUGGUGAGGCCAAAAUAUGCCCCCCAGCUCACUGUUGCCCUUACCCCCUGCACCAACUUACUGCCCCCAUUCAGAUCUCGGUGCCAUCUUUUGGUUACUUGACUGGUAUUUAUUAACUAAAUCCUGGAGCAAAGUCUCUGUAGAUAGGGCGGCCUCCUCUUCCUCUGCCCUCCCUUGUGUUGGCAGCCCAGUGCCCAGAGUGCCCCCUGCUGAUGGGACUGUACUUAGAUGGGCACAGUCACAGGCAUUACUGGUGGGGCACAGUGACAGCUAUAAACAUGUGAAAGGUUGGUACAGCGGUUACAGGGGCACGCACUGCUGAAUCUUCUCUUGCCCAAGGAAAGGUUGGUACAGCGGGUACAGGGGGCACUCACUGCUGAAUCUUCUCUUGCCCAAGGAAAGGUUGGCACAGCGGGUACAGGGGCACUCACUGCUGAACUUUCUCUUGCCCAAGGGAAGGUUGGUACAGCGGUUACAGGGGCACUCACUGCUGAACUUUCUCUUGCCCAAGGAAAGGUUGGUACAGGGGGCACUCACUGCUGAACUUUCUCUUGCCCAAGGAAAGGUUGGUACAGGGGGCACUUAGUGCUGAAUCUUCUCUUGCCCAAGGGAAGGUUGGCACAGCUGGUACAGGGGGCACUCACUGCUGAAUCUUCUCUUGCCCAAGGGAAGGUUGGUACAGCGGGUACAGGGGCACUCACUGCUGAAUCUUCUUUUGCCCAAGGGAAGGUUGAUACAGCGGGUACAGGGGCACUCACUGCUGAAUCUUCUCUUGCCCAAGGGAAGGUUGGCACAGCGGGUACAGGGGCACUCACUGCUGAAUCUUCUCUUGCCCAAGGGAAGGUUGGUACAGGGGGCACUCACUGCUGAAUCUUCUCUUGCCCAAGGGAAGGUUGGUACAGCGGGUACAGGGGCACUCACUGCUGAAUCUUCUCUUGCCCAAGGGAAGGUUGGUACAGCGGGUACAGGGGCACUCACUGCUGAAUCUUCUCUUGCCCAAGGGAAGGUUGGCACAGCUGGUACAGGGGGCACUCACUGCUGAAUCUUCUCUUGCCCAAGGGAAGGUUGAUACAGGGGGCACUCACUGCUGAAUCUUCUCUUGCCCAAGGGAAGGUUGGUACAGCGGGUACAGGGGGCACUCACUGCUGAAUCUUCUCUUGCCCAAGGGAAGGUUGGUACAGGGGGCACUCACUGCUGAAUCUUCUCUUGCCCAAGGGAAGGUUGGUACAGCGGGUACAGGGGCACUCACUGCUGAAUCUUCUCUUGCCCAAGGGAAGGUUGGUACAGGGGGCACUCACUGCUGUAUCUUCUCUUGCCCAAGGGAAGGUUGGUACAGGGGGCACUCACUGCUGAAUCUUCUCUUGCCCAAGGGAAGGUUGGUACAGCGGGUACAGGGGCACUCACUGCUGAAUCUUCUCUUGCCCAAGGGAAGGUUGGUACAGGGGGCACUCACUGCUGAAUCUUCUCUUGCCCAAGGGAAGGUUGGUACAGCGGGUACAGGGGCACUCACUGCUGAAUCUUCCUCUUGCCCAAGGGAAGGUUGGUACAGCGGGUACAGGGGCACUCACUGCUGAAUCUUCUGUUGCCCAAGGGAAGGUGGGCACAGCGGGUACAGGGGCACUCACUGCUGAAUCUUCUCUUGCCCAAGGGAAGGUUGGCACAGCUGGUACUGGGGCACUCACUGCUGAAUCUUCUCUUGCCCAAGGGAAGGUUGGCACAGCGGGUACAGGGGGCACUCACUGCUGAAUCUUCUCUUGCCCAAGGGAAGGUUGGUACAGGGGGCACUCACUGCUGAAUCUUCUCUUGCCCAAGGGAAGGUUGAUACAGCGGGUACAGGGGCACUCACUGCUGAAUCUUCUCUUGCCCAAGGAAAGGUUGGCACAGCGGGUACAGGGGGCACUCACUGCUGAAUCUUCUCUUGCCCAAGGGAAGGUUGGUACAGCGGGUACAGGGGCACUCACUGCUGAAUCUUCUCUUGCCCAAGGGAAGGUUGAUACAGCGGGUACAGGGGCACUCACUGCUGAAUCUUCCCUUGCCCAAGGAAAGGUUGAUACAGCGGGUACAGGGGCACUCACUGCUGAAUCUUCUCUUGCCCAAGGAAAGGUUGGCACAGCGGGUACAGGGGGCACUCACUGCUGAAUCUUCUCUUGCCCAAGGGAAGGUUGGUACAGCGGGUACAGGGGCACUCACUGCUGAAUCUUCUCUUGCCCAAGGGAAGGUUGGCACAGCGGGUACAGGGGCACUCACUGCUGAAUCUUCUCUUGCCCAAGGAAAGGUUGGCACAGCGGGUACAGGGGCACUCACUGCUGAAUCUUCUCUUGCCCAAGGAAAGGUUGGUACCACGGGUACAGGGGCACUCACUGCUGAAUCUUCUCUUGCCCAAGGAAAGGUUGGCACAGCGGGUACAGGGGCACUCACUGCUGAAUCUUCUCUUGCCCAAGGAAAGGUUGGUACCACGGGUACAGGGGCACUCACUGCUGAAUCUUCUCUUGCCCAAGGAAAGGUUGGCACAGCGGGUACAGGAGCACUCACUGCUGAAUCUUCUCUUGCCCAAGGAAAGGUUGGCACAGCGGGUACAGGGGCACUCACUGCUGAAUCUUCUC